UGGCCAGAAAUGGUGAGAAGCAAAAGCAUGAAGAAGCCGCGAAGUGGAGGAGAAAAGGUGAAGGGAGAUGCAGCUCCUGGAGAAAUUGUAAAAAGCCUUGCAAAGAGUUGUCGGAAGGACCGUUAUUCCUGCUGGGCAGGAGCGAGAGGAGAGACCCUGAAACACACGCCACCUAUCUUUGUGGGGAGGGAUAAUUGAAGAGCACCAAACGUGAGCAUCAUGUGGAAACGUGAUCGCCAAGUUUCUCUCUGGGAAAGGAUCUGGGAUAGAUUAUACCUUGAAGUCUCCGCGAAGGGCUUUAGCGGCACAAAUGCAAUUCCACCUCCUCCCGCCCGCCCCCC